rnacentral:rRNA from 1 species
CUGCUGCCUUCCGUAGGAGUCUGGGCCGUGUCUCAGUCCCAGUGUGGGGGGCCUUCCUCUCAGAACCCCUACGCAUCGUCGCCUCGGUGGGCCGUUACCCCGCCGACUAGCUAAUGCGCCGCAUGCCCAUCCGUGGCCGGGAUUGCUCCCUUUGGCGGCCUUGGGAUGUCCCUAGGCCGCGUUACGCGGUAUUAGACGGGGUUUCCCCCGCUUAUCCCCCUGCCACGGGCAGGUUGCAUACGUGUUACUCACCCGUGCGCCGGUCGCCGGCAACGG